ACCAACAUGCAGUUGUGAGACCGUAAUACUCCACAGAUUAUAUGAGUUUACAGUAGAACAGCAAUGUUGUUAAUUUCUUUACUACAGGAAAAUAAUGAAGAAACAUUGACAGCUGUUACAGAGGAGGAAGCAACAGAGACACUUUAUGAGGUUUACAUCUUACAAUGGAAAAUAUAACAAUUGAAUAAAAUGUGGUACUAUAAUAAAACCAUGGACUUUCUAUGUCUCUAACAGAGUGAUGAUGGAAAUGAAGAGGAAGAGGGUCCAGCCACUUCUCCAACAAACCUUUCCUCACUCCCUGUAAAGCAGCUGUACAAGACCUAUUUGAUCAAGAAAAUAAAAAAAUGCGACUUGGAAAUGGAACACUUCAAGCAGCAGAUCCAAAAGACCAAGAUUGAGAUUUUACUGCUGGAACAUCAGUUAAGGGUGGGUGAAGUGGUCAGAGAUGGACGAAUUAUUUCAGUGUUUGAACAACAUAAUAAUAUACUUAUUAAUACUUUGUGUACAGGAAAUACAGGCGACCAAUAAAGCCAGUUGAACAAAAAUCUGUUUAUUCUUCUUUCAACAUGUUGAGGUGAUGGGUCAAAAGAAAUGAUUGUGACAUAUGGUGUCUCUGACUGCGCUUCCAUCUUGUAUGUCCGUGGGAGGGUCAGGAUGUUCAUGGUUUGGAUCACUGCUGAUGUUUGGUUCAGAAGGACAGUGUUCUCCUCUAAUUGUGGCAAUGUUGUGAAGAAUCACACAUGCCACAAUAAUGUCACAUGCCCUUUCUGGGGUGACCCUGAGUCUUUGCAGGCACUGGAACCGGGCCUUAAGCAUUCCGAUAGUCAUUUCAAUUCUGGCUCUUGUCCUGCAAUUAGCCAGAUUAUAUCGCUGCUGUGGGCCCGGUUCAGGGUCAGGGUAAGGGGUA